rnacentral:lncRNA from 1 species
UAUAUAUAUAUAGAGUUAGGCUGGUAUGUUAUCGGUAGCAUGGAGGCCUCUGUGUUAUCAAAUUAUUUUCAAUGAUGCGGCUUCCAAAUCAACGAUCGGCUCCGUUAGACUUGAUGUACAUUAUUAAAAGUAUUUGGAAACAAAAUUUCAUAAUUUUUCAACAUUAUUUGGCUAGUGAUCAAAAGAUCUCAAAAUUAAUAAUUUUAAUGGUAGAUGUGAUGCGUUUGUAAAUUUAAUGGUAUAAAACAAUCCAAAUAUGAUGAAUUUUUUAUAGAAAAUUCUUUUAACUAUUUAGAGUAAGAUCAGUAUCGCUGAUCUUAAAUUCAAGUCUUUUAUCAUCAUUUUUUAUAAAAUUUUUAUUUUCAGUCGUUCAUUUUUAGACUACUAAUUUGAUAGGUAAAUAACGCCGAAAAAUUAUGAAAUUUAGUUUCCAAAUACUUUUAAUAGUGUAGAUCAAGACUAACGGAGCCGAUCGUCGAUUAGGAAACCGCAU